AUCAAGGGCUGUCCUUCCACUGAUUCGGCUAAAUAAUCAUGAAUAUUGGGUGGAUCUCGGCUGUAAAGUGCUCUAAAUGGCGCCAUCUGGAUGGCAGUGUGAAAAAAGGUGUUAUAUAAGAACUCAACAAGAUGCAAGUAUUUGUACCACUUCAGUUUGACCGUAAGGUAUCUCUCUACAUACUUGUUUACUACUUCAGUUUGAUCGUCGGUUUCUAGAUGACACACAAUACUAUAUUUUAAUAUAGUGCCUUGUGCCUUGAAGAAUUCCUUCCAAAAAGUGCUAAGGAACAAGGGGUCGUGGUCAGAAACAAUGGACUUGGGAAGCCCAUGAAGACGAGUAAUCUCAACUGAGAAAUGAGCUGCAAGAUCUUUUGCGGUGAACUUGGUUGGUAAUGCGAUGAAGUGGACAUAUUUUAUUAGACGAUCACAUAUGACCCAAAUAACAUUGUGACCAAAGGAGUUGGAUAAGUGCGUGAUAAAGUCCAUAUUAAGGUCUUCCCAAACCUGAUUUGGAAUUGGUAAAGAUAACUGGCCACAAAAAAGAAGCUGACACUCUAGCAAGAGUUGCUUUAAUGCCUGAGUGACCUGCUGUGGGUGUGUCGUGAAACUCACGGAGAACGUUCUGGUACAAACCUUGAAUGUCAAUGGACAAGAGAUUUGGAAUUGGAGAGGAAAGGGAUAACAACAAGGAAUCAUCAGAGUAAUAUUUCUGACUAAGGGCAUCAACUAGCAGAUUAGAUUUUCCAGCAAACAUUUCAUGGACAUAGACAAAGGCUGCUUGCAUUCGAGGAGACAUCUUCUUGCUGAAAAAGGAGAUCGGGUGACCAUCUUGGGAUAAGACUGCACCAAUUGCUACUCCAGAAGCGUAGGUUUCUACUAUAAAUUUCUUUGUAAAAUUAGGUAGAACUAAGACUGGCAUGUCGGUCAUUCUUCUUUGUAAUUCUACAAAGGCUGCGACCUCAUCUCUACCCCAAAAAAAUUUAAUGGAACAUAACAAAUCAGUGAGAGGAGCAACGAGAUGGGCGUAUUGUCGAACAAAUUAAUGAUAAAAUCCAGUGAGUCCAAAAAUCAUCGGAGUACCGUGAGAGAACGUGGAGGGGGCCAAUCUAAAAUGGCCUUCACCUUGUCUGGAUCAGGUGCAUAAUGCUAAUUGAAAUCACAUGUCCUAAAUAAUGAACCUUAUCAACUGCAAAAACACAUUUUGAUAAUUUCACAACAAAAACAUUGGAGUGUAACAAAUCAAAAACAACCUGUAAAUGGGUAAGAUGUGUUGGUGUAAGCCCUAAAGGCCAAUACUUUUGGUACUUGUAUCGAAUUAUUUAUUAAUAAUAAAAGGAGUUUUCUUUAU